rnacentral:rRNA from 1 species
UACGAAGGGGGCUAGCGUUGUUCGGAUUUACUGGGCGUAAAGCGCACGUAGGCGGAUCGUUAAGUCGGGGGUGAAAUCCUGGAGCUCAACUCCAGAACUGCCUUCGAUACUGGCGAUCUUGAGUCCGGAAGAGGUGAGUGGAACUCCUAGUGUAGAGGUGGAAUUCGUAGAUAUUAGGAAGAACACCAGUGGCGAAGGCGGCUCACUAAUCCGGUACUGACGCUGAGGUGCGAAAGCGUGGGGAGCAAACAGG